rnacentral:rRNA from 1 species
CCUACGGGUGGCUGCAGUGGGGAAUAUUGCACAAUGGGGGAAACCCUGAUGCAGCGACGCCGCGUGAGUGAAGACGUCUUUCGGUAUUUAAAGCUCUAUCAGCAGGGAAGCAAAUGACGGUACCUGUCUAAGAAGCCCCGGGUAACUACGUGCCAGCAUCCGCGGUAAUACGUAGGGGGCAAGCGUUAUCCGGAAUUACUGGGUGGAAAGGGAGCGUUGACGGGGCUGCAAGUCUGAAGGGAAAGGGAGGGGGCUAAACCCUGCACUGCUUUGGAAACUGGCAUGCUUGAGUGCUGGAGAGGUAAGUGGAAUUCGUAGGGUAGCGGUGAAAUGCGUAGAUAUCAGGAGGAACACCAGUGGCGAAGGCGGCUUACUGGACAGUAACUGACGCUGAGGCUCGAAAGCGUGGGGAGCAAACAGGAUUAGAUACCCCAGUAGUC